CCGCGGAAGAUUAGGUAGUUGGUGGGGUAAAGGCCUACCAAGCCGACGAUCUAUAGCUGGUUUGAGAGGACGAACAGCCACAUUGGAACUGAGACACGGUCCAGACUCCUACGGGAGGCAGCAGUGAGGAAUAUUGGGCAAUGGAGGAAACUCUGACCCAGCCAUGCCGCGUGAGUGAAGAAGGUUUUCGAAUUGUAAAGCUCUUUCGGAUGGGACGAUGAUGACGGUACCAUCUAAAGAAGCCCCGGCAAACUUCGUGCCAGCAGCCGCGGUAAUACGAAGGGGGCAAGCGUUGUUCGGAAUUACUGGGCGUAAAGGGUGUGUAGGCGGAUUUGUAAGAUAGUGGUGAAAUACCUGAGCUCAACUUAGGAAUUGCCAUUAUAACUAUAGAUCUGGAGUGACAGAGAGGAUAUUGGAAUACCCAGUGUAGAGGUGAAAUUCAUAGAUAUUGGGUAGACCACCAGUGGCGAAGGCGAGUAUCUGGCUGUCAACUGACGCUGAGGCACGAAAGCAUGGGGAUCAAACAGGAUUAGAUACCCUGGUAGUCCAUCCUA
rnacentral:rRNA from 1 species